UAAGUAAACCGGGUGACCGUCCUGUGCUUUAAGCAUAGGGAGGAAAGUCCGAGCUCCACCGAGCAAGGUGCUGGGUAACACCCAGGAGGGGCGACCCUAUGGAAAGUGCCACAGAAACAUACCGCUUCAGAAAUGAAGCAAGGGUGAAAUGGCGAGGUAAGGGCUCACCAGCAGCCAGGUGACUGGCUGGCUGGGCAAACCCCACCUGGAGCAAGACCAAACAGAGGGCGAUUAAGGUGCUCGGCCGAGGCCCUGGGUAGGUCGCUUGACCUUGAUGGUAACAUCAAGGCUAGAUGAAUGGUCACCACCCUGAUAUUUUCAGGGCACAGAACUCGGCUUACAGGUUUACUUACCCC
rfam:Dehalococcoidia bacterium CG2_30_46_19 cg2_3.0_scaffold_13531_c, whole genome shotgun sequence.